rnacentral:rRNA from 1 species
CCUACGGGAGGCUGCAGUAGGGAAUCUUUCACAAUGGGCGAAAGCCUGAUGGAGCAACGCCGCGUGCAGGAUGAAGGCCUUCGGGUUGUAAACUGCUUUUAUAAGCGAGCAAUAUGAUGGUAACUUAUGAAUAAGGAUCGGCUAACUACGUGCCAGCAUCCGCGGUCAUACGUAGAAUCCGAGCAUUAUCCGGAGUGCCUGGGUGUAAAGAGUUGCGUAGGUGGCAUAAUAAGUAGCUAGUGAAAUCUGGUGGCUCAACCAUUCAGACUAUUAGCUAAACUGUUAAGCUCGAGACCGUUAGGGGUAACUGGAAUUUCUAGUGUAGGAGUGAAAUCCGUAGAUAUUAGAAGGAACACCAAUAGCGUAGGCAGGUUGCUGGGACGGUUCUGACACUAAGGCACGAAAGCGUAGGGAGCAAACGGGAUUAGAUACCCCUGUAGUC